rnacentral:rRNA from 1 species
GUAGGUGGCAAGCGUUGUCCGGGAAUUAUUGGGCGUAAAGCGCGCGCAGGCGGUUCUUUAAGUCUGAUGUGAAAGCCCACGGGCUCAACCGUGGAGGGUCACUGGAAACUGGAGAACUUGAGUACAGAAGAGGAAAGCGGAAUUCCACGUGUAGCGGUGAAAUGCGUAGAGAUGUGGAGGAACACCAGUGGCGAAGGCGGCUUUCUGGUCUGUAACUGACGCUGAGGCGCGAAAGCGUGGGGAGCAAACAGGAUUAGAUACCCUGGUAGUCCACGCCGUAAACGAUGAGUGCUAAGUGUUAGGGGGUUUCCGCCCCUUAGUGCUGCAGCUAACGCAUUAAGCACUCCGCCUGGGGAGUACGGCCGCAAAGGCUG